rnacentral:rRNA from 1 species
UUCGGUUAAGUUAUGAAGGGCGCACGGUGGAUGCCUUGGCACUAGGAGCCGACGAAGGACGGGACUAACACCGAUAUGCUUUGGGGAGCUGUAAGUGAGCUUUGAUCCAGAGAUUUCCGAAUGGGGGAACCCAUUGUUCGUAAUGGAACAAUAUCCU